UCACCUAGGCAAUCAAUCAAGUCUUGUCUGUGGGUGAAACCCUCUUUCCAAAGUAAUCACUUUCAAAACAGUUUUGUGUGAGUGUUUGUACCCCAAUUUAUCUCAGCAAGACAAGACGUGUGAUUUUGACUGACAGACACAUAUGCUCCCCCUUCACUCUCCAACUUGCUAUUGAAUAUGGUGGUGGUGGGAGUGAGUGGAACCGAGGGCAUGGAGUAUUUGUAGGAUGGUUGUAACCGAAAGCCUGCUGGGCUGAUUGUUCUGCACCAAGGCAGGGUGUAUUAAUUGCGGUUGUACAUCCCUAUUUGUUGUCUUAUUGCAACUCAUUUAUAAAGUUCGUUUUUCUUGGCAAUGGCAGGUGCAAAAAGGAGAGUACGAGCUGCCAAAUGCUGGGAUUGCAGCCGCUGGUUGGAUAUGCGAGCUGGGCACGGCUGGAAUGCAGAUUUCUGCACUACUGCAGCAACCUUAUUUGGGUUUUGGAGGCAAUAGUCUACCUCUUGGUCUCAAACCCUCUCGGUCCAAAGGCUUGAUGCGUAGCGUGUUUCAAAGGGGUAAUCGAGUCCUUCUUCGCCUUUCCCAUGUAUAUACUUCCUUUUGUGGGCACAAAUGCCUAAGCUUAUGUAAUACAUCCUUUCAGAGAGGAUACAUACUUAAGUCUUGUAAUAGUUUCUUUAGAAAAGUCAAGCUCCUUAGUAUUUUCUUGUAUUAGUGUGUAUUGUAAUAUAGUAAUUAGUUAGCGAGGAACUUAUGUUCUACAUUUCCCUUCUUGUAUGGAUUUGAUACGUUCACUUUGGAAAGAAAUUAAAGAGCGUGCGUAAUUUUUUAUUUCGUUCGUUUUACACCUUAAA